UGUACGCGUGUGUCGGUAGGUUACAGAACUCGUGAUGUGACUUUUUGAUAUUGUGUUCGAACCGGUAAGUGCCCAGCUUCAAGAACUGCAUUGGUAAGUUGUUAAAUGUGGGUCCAGACAAUGUCCACAAGAUGAGCACGUACAUUUGGCGCAAUUAUUAGUCCAGUGCAGCUGUGAUGGAAAGACAUUUCAUAGACAAAGGGAUUUCAAAUAUGUCUGCAUUUCAGAGAGAUUUCAACGUGAAGUGUGUGUUCCCUUGUUCUGAGAGGAGUCUGGCCACACGACAUCCAUCGCCAACUCCACUCCACGGUACACGACGUCCAUCCUUUAAUGGUUUAAUGGCUGGACUUUCCAGAGAUGCCUGGAGAGGGGCUGAAAUCGAGAGAGAUUUGAAAUUCCGCUCAUGACCAGUGGGUCGUGUAUCUUACAGGCUGUUCUAGUUUCCGGCCAGUUGUUGUGGGGC